UAACGCGUGGGUAACCUGCCUCAUACAGGGGGAUAACGAUUGGAAACGAUUGCUAAUACCGCAUAAGCGCACAGCACCACAUGGUGCAGUGUGAAAAACUCCGGUGGUAUGAGAUGGACCCGCGUCUGAUUAGCUAGUUGGUGAGGUAACGGCCCACCAAGGCAACGAUCAGUAGCCGACCUGAGAGGGUGACCGGCCACAUUGGGACUGAGACACGGCCCAG
rnacentral:rRNA from 1 species